rnacentral:rRNA from 1 species
GGUUAAGCUACUAAGAGCACACGGAGGAUGCCUAGGCGCUAGGAGCCGAUGAAGGACGUGGCGAACAACGAAACUGCCUCGGGGAGCUGUAAGCAAGCUUUGAUCCGGGGAUGUCCGAAUGGGGAAACCCAGCUGGGGUAAUAUCCAGUUACUCAUAACUGAAUACAUAGGUUAUGUAGAGGCAUACCAGGGGAACUGAAACAUCUAAGUACCUUGAGGAAGAGAAAACAAUAGUGAUUCCGUCAGUAGCGGCGAGCGAACGCGGAACAGCCCAAACCAGAGAGCUUGCUCUCUGGGGUUGUGGGACGUCUCACAUGGAGUUACAAAGGAACCGGUUAAACGAAGAGGUCUGGAAAGGCCCGCCAAAGAAGGUAAAAGCCCUGUAAUUGAAAGUCUGUUCCCUCCGAGACGGAUCCCGAGUAGUGCGGGGCACGUGAAACCCCGUAUGAAUCCGGCAGGACCAUCUGCCAAGGCUAAAUACUUCCUAGCGACCGAUAGUGAAGCAGUACCGUGAGGGAAAGGUGAAAAGCACCCCGGAAGGGGAGUGAAAUAGAACCUGAAACCGUGUGCUUACAAGAAGUCAGAGCCCAUUUUAGGGGUGAUGGCGUGCCUUUUGUAGAAUGAACCGGCGAGUUACGUUCCCGUGCAAGGUUAAGGUGAAGAGCCGGAGCCGCAGCGAAAGCGAGUCUGAAUAGGGCGAGUUAGUACGUGGACGUAGACCCGAAACCGGGUGAUCUACCCCUGUCCAGGGUGAAGGUGCGGUAACACGCACUGGAGGCCCGAACCCACGCACGUUG